AUGCCUAUGGGUUUAUCGGAAGCACCGGAUACUUUCAUGCGUCUUAUGAAUUAUGUGUUUCAUCCUUACAUUGGUGAGUUUGUUGUGGUCUACUUCAACGAUAUCCUUGUUUAUAGCAAAUCUGUCAAAGAUCAUGUCACCCAUGCUCAAACCGUUUUGCAAACUCUUCAAAAAGAGCGUCUCUAUGCUAACAUGGAAAAAUGCCUUUUUGGCGUUGAUAAGCUCGUUUUCUUGGGUUUUGUUGUAUCCCCUAAGGGUGUUCAUAUUGAUGACUCUAAGAUCAAUGCUAUUAAAACUUGGCCACAACCAACCAACUUGCAUCAAGUGCGUAGCUUCCUUGGUUUAGCCGGUUUCUACCGCAGAUUUGUGAAGGACUUUAGUACCAUUGCUUCACCUUUGCAUGCUUUGAGCAAGAAGAAUGCACCCUUUGUUUGGGGACCAUCCCAAGGUACCGCAUUCAAUGAGCUUAAAAAUUUGCUUACUCAUGCUCCUGUGCUUGCAUUACCCAACUUUGACAAACCCUUUGAAAUUCAUUGUGAUGCUAGUGGUAAUGGCAUAGGAGGUGUGUUAACGCAAAAGAAGCACCCCAUAGCUUAUUUUAGUGAGAAACUUUCCAGAACGCAACUCCAUUACCCCAUCUAUGACAAAGAGUUAUAUGCUUUAGUGUGA
rnacentral:rRNA from 1 species